AUUGAACGCUGGCGGCAGGCCUAACACAUGCAAGUCGAACGAGUGGCGGACGGGUGAGUAAUGUCUGGGAAAUUGCCUGAAGGCGGGGAAUAACUACUGGAAACGGUCGCUAAUACCGCAUCCCAUCAGAUGUGCCCAGAUGGGAUUAGCUUGUUGGGUGGGUAACGGCUCACCAAGGCGACGAGCCCUAGCUGGUCUGAGAGGAUGACCAGCCAAACGGGAACUGAGACACGGUCCAGACUCCUACGGGAGGCAGCAGUGGGGAAUAUUACACAAUGGGCACAAGCCUGAUGCAGCCAUGCCGCGUGUAUGAAGAGGGCCUUCGUGUUGUAAAGUACUUUCAGCGGGGAGGCGUUACCCGCAGAAGAAGCACCGGCUAACUCCGUGCCAGCAGCCGCGGUAAUUC
rnacentral:rRNA from 1 species